rnacentral:rRNA from 1 species
AUUGAACGCUGGCGGCAGGCCUAACACAUGCAAGUCGAGCGGAUGAAGGGAGCUUGCUCCUGGAUUCAGCGGCGGACGGGUGAGUAAUGCCUAGGAAUCUGCCUGGUAGUGGGGGAUAACGUCCGGAAACGGGCGCUAAUACCGCAUACGUCCUGAGGGAGAAAGUGGGGGAUCUUCGGACCUCACGCUAUCAGAUGAGCCUAGGUCGGAUUAGCUAGUUGGUGGGGUAAAGGCCUACCAAGGCGACGAUCCGUAACUGGUCUGAGAGGAUGAUCAGUCACACUGGAACUGAGACACGGUCCAGACUCCUACGAGAGGCAGCAGUGGGGAAUAUUGGACGAUGGGCGAAAGCCUGAUCCAGCCAUGCCGCGUGUGUGAAGAAGGUCUUCGGAUUGUAAAGCACUUUAAGUUGGGAGGAAGGGCAGUAAGUUAAUACCUUGCUGUUUUGACGUUACCAACAGAAUAAGCACCGGCUAACUUCGUG